UGUAAGAUAUCGCAAAAUAAAUAAUAAAUAUUACUGGACGAAAAAUCUUAUUGGAUUUCUUAGGAAUUUUUAGAAAUUUUCUGGGAUUUAAACGGAGUCCGUAUGACCCGUUUUGAUGGGAUGGAUUCGGGGUACCGCGAAGCCUAUUUGGGAUACCCAUUUAAAUGGGAGUUGAUUAAGGAUUUAACUUAAGGUUAAUUAACUUAAACCUAAGUUUUAUUUUCUUUAAAUUUUUCUCCCGAUUCACUUCCUUCCCCGAUCCCUUCUUCCCUGACUCCCCUCCCCCGCGAUCCGAUUUCAUCGCCAGUCGUCGGGAAGCGACGCCGAUCGCCGGCACAAGGCAGCCCUUGAUCGUUGAGGAGGAAAGCUACCGCCCCGACCUCUCCCCUUUCUCUCUCCCUCGCCGCGAGUCUCUUUUCUCCCGAGCCCCGAGCCCCUUUCUCUCGAUUUCUCCUCGUCGAUCGUCGACCCACGAGACGUCGGAGCCAAGCUCGCAAGGUCUCCGAUCACCUCUCCUCACCGGAUCUUGAAGGUACUAAAGAUGUCCAAGCCAUCUCUGGAGGUGUGAUCGCUUCCUCGGUUGGUCCUUUUUCCCCGUCCAGGAGAUCCGAUUAGGGUUCAAUGAGGGGCAUAGAUCCGCGUCGUCUCAAGCCAAUUGAACUUCUCAUUCAUCCUCUUCAAUUCGUUUGCUGGAGAGUGAUCGGUUGCUCUUCAUCAACCGGAUUGGAGUAGGCGAGGGCACCUGGAAAGGACCAAAUCUAGGUUGUUCUUGUUCUGGAUUGGAGGAAGGCAUCGGAUCAAGGUAUUGGUAGAUUUCUCUUCUACCGAUCACUGCUUCUCCACUUCUUGAAGCUGUGGAGGUCACGGGUGAGGAGGCAAGGGACUAUUGAGGACUUGGAUUCGGGACGAGUGUCUCGACGUGGGAUUAUUUGGCACGAUCGACAGAUCAAGG